rnacentral:rRNA from 1 species
ACGAACGCUGGCGGCGUGCCUAACACAUGCAAGUCUGGGAGAAUUGGGUAGCAAUAUCCAUUGUAAACCGGCGCACGGGUGAGUAAUAUAUAGGUAAUAUGCCUUUUGGUUUGGGAUAACCCCGCGAAAGCGGGGCUAAUACCGAAUGAUUCAAUGUCUCCGCAUGGGGAUAUUGUUAAAGCUUCGGCGCCAAGAGAUUAACCUGUAUCCCAUUAGAUAGUUGGCGAGGUAACGGCUCACCAAGUCUGCGAUGGGUAGCUGAUCUGAGAGGAUGAUCAGCCACACUGGAACUGAGACACGGUCCAGACUCCUACGGGAGGCAGCAGUGAGGAAUAUUGCGCAAUGGAGGAAACUCUGACGCAGCGACGCCGCGUGAAGGAUGAAGGCCCUCUGGGUUGUAAACUUCUGUAGAGAGGGAAGAAUUUCUCGUUUCGCGGGAUUGACGGUACCUCUAAAGUAAGGGUCGGCUAACUACGU